UCUUGGUGGCUCAGUGAUAAAGAAUCUGCCUGCAAUGCAGGAAAUCCAGGUUCGAUUCCUGGGUCAGGAA
rnacentral:tRNA from 1 species